rnacentral:RNase_P_RNA from 1 species
CGGGCAGGCUGUUCCGUCGCCUUUUCAAUUGAAAGGGAGGAAAGUCCGGGCAGCAAAGGGCAACUCACCAUCUAACAGAUGGUCGCAUCAAACAAUGCGGGGAAAGUGCCACAGAAAAUAACCGUCCUAAUUUCGAUUAGGAUAAGGGUGAAAACGCGAGGUAAGCGCUCACGGCAUAGAUGGGUAACCAUUUGUGCGGGUAAACCCUGGGUGCUGAAAGGCCAAAUAGGUUUCCUAAUGUUUGACUUCGGUCAAAAUGCCAAUCGGCUCGAUUGGAUAUGGAAAUGGGUAGGCUGAUAGAGGUAAUUGGCAACAAUUAUCCCAGAUAAAUGGCGGAAACCAUGCGAUACAACCCCGCUUGGGGACAGAACCCGGCUUAUAGGCCUGCCUGUUUU